UAUUAGUUUCCAUGUAUUGAUUUAGGCUACUCUAUAAAUAUAGCCUCUUGUAAUCCCUAUUAGGUACAAUCAAAUACAAUAACCUACAAGGUUUCAUAUGGUAUCAGAGCCAUAAAUCCGGCAACAAUUCCGGUUAUCAACAACCCUUACCGGAAAAUUAAUCCUUGUAAUUUUCGAAUUCAGAUCUAUACCAAUUAACCCUUGUAAUCUUCGAAUUCGACUUCACCUUCACUACCACUAGAUUUAGAUCAAGAUUUCGGAAAAAAAACCCAUAAAAAUUCAUCGCCAAAGCAGCCACGCGCCACCUGACCCAGUCGCCGGAUUUUACAAAAUCCGAUCAGAUCUGCAUUUUUCCGGCGAGUCUGAUAUCACCGCUGCCGCCAUCUUCCGAUUCAGCAAAUUCCGAUCAAAAUCCUUAAAAAAACGCACUACAGUGCCGCACUGCCGCUGCUACAGUGCCAUUGCUAUAGUAAAAAACACACACACACACACAAUAAUGACUGAUUAUAUGCAAAUUUUACAACAAUUAAUUGCUCGGCUUGGUUUAAAAAUAGGACCGGUCUCUUCACAACUACACAAGAAUUACACAAACUACUCACAUAACUAUAACACAAGCAGUGAUAACAACCUCAACCAAAAAGGAAACCAAAACUCAAGUUCGUUUAUUUUUCGCAAUAAGGUUUAUGGCACGUGUAACAAGUGUGGAAUUGUUUAUAUUCUAUCACAAUGCCCGAAUCGUGACCCGUCCACUUUCCAGACGAGACAAUCGUUUGUCAAUUAUGUCCACCAUCAUCGUUCACAGACAUCUAGUUCAUGGCUUUGCGACACCGGAUCAAACAACCACGUUGGAAAGGAUUUGUCGCUUUUUGAUAUCGCUCAACCCUACUAUGGUAGCGACAAUCUACAUGUUGGUGACGGUAACGGCUUACCCAUUUUGCAUAUUGGUUCAUCUCGUUAUUAUUCACCUAGCAAAACCUUUUCUGUAAAGACUAUUCUUCAUGUUCCAGAAAUCAAAGAAAAUCUCCUUUCUGUUCAAAAAUUUUGCCAUGAUAACAAUGUUUAUUUUAGCUUUUACCCCACCUUCUUUGUUGUCAAAGACAUACAUUCACACAAUUCACUCCUUAUGGGUACUAGUGAUGGACGACUCUACAAACUCAACUUUCUAGCCAAUCAACCAAUUCCCAGAAUUGCUUUCUUAACCGCCCGAGCAAGAGGUCGGAAAUAAGGGUGUUUCUAAUGAUGAAAAGAGCUUUUUUUUAUCUGAAUCAAUUUGAACAAGAGCUACAUCAGCAGGACUCUCUGCAAGUGGCAUCAAGAGCAUCCAUCACAGAAUUCCCUCAGUAUCAAUGAGAACGAACCCCUACUCCAGAGUAUGUUCAUCUACUUCGUCCUUUUAGUAACUGAGGCACUAUGGGAUGCAAAGAAGCUUCGUCACCCUUCUUUAGUUGCUUCUACUUUUUUCAAAAAAGAUUGGGUUGGUGUUUAGUGUACCGCUUGUGUAGCCUAUGCACGGGUACAAUAUCAAAAAGAAUGCGUUGCAUGGAAAAGUAAAAUGUCCAACUAAUAUAACCGGGGUUGUUAAACGUUACAAAGCCCGCCUAGUUGCCAAUGGGUUUCGACAACAACUUAACCCGACAUUGAUUAUCAUGAGACUUUCAGUCCUGUUGUUAAGGUCACCACCAUCCGUCUUGUCCUUCCUCUAGCUGUUGCACAAAAGUGGUCAUUACGACAACUUGAUGUCCAAAAUGCCUUUUUACAUGGCGAUCCCAAGGAACUAUUUAUUUAGAACAACCUCAGGGCUUUGUUGAUCCACACAAACCGGAUCAUGUAUGUCGUUUACACAAAUCUCUAUAUGGCCUCAAACAAGCCCCCCGAGCGUGGUUCCAACGAUUAUCAAGUACUUUUCAACACCUUGGAUUUAAUUACACGCUCAAAAACAGAUCCAUCUCUAUUCAUCUAUACCGAUCAUUUUCUUAAAAUAAUCAUUGAAACAUUUGAAAUAGAACAAUAUAGAAGAGGUAACCAUCUAACGCUUCUCACCGGCCUCCUCUGCCUACUACACAAAUAACAUCAUCACAACAGGUACCACUACCACCAGUAACACCAUCAGCUCCUGCAGCCAAGCCUUCGUCUCUUUCUCAGGCUAACUUGGAUGAGCUUCCGGCAUAUUUCCAGAUUCAUGUUCCAGGUCAACCUAUUCUAGCAGAUGCCGCUGAAAAUGCUCCACAGCAUUUUGACAUACUCUUUUCAGCAGCCCCCGCCGCCUACUGCACAAGCAAAAUCAUCACAAUCGCUCGCUGCCACCAGUAGGACCAUUAUUAGUUCUUCAUGCUGAGCCUUUGUCUCCGCCUCAGACUGACUCGAUUGAGCUGCAGGUUUCAUCUUCUCAAAGUGGCACAAUUUGUGUCCAAGGCUGCAUACAAUGUGAAGCGGAGCUAGUGUUGCACCCAUUCUUGAAGAAACACGGUGACAUUGCUUCUAAAAUGCCAAUUCAAAACAGCUUCGAUCUGUGAGAUCAAAUUUCCUUGAGGUUGUUUGUGAAGUUGUCACAAGAAUCGAAGUGGAUGAUGUUAAUGAGAAACUCUUGAAGAAUUAGAGGGCCAGGUUUCAGAUGCAGAGGCCAACAUCAUCAAUGUGUCAUGGCUUAGAGCUCACUUGGAAGCCCUUCACAAAAGGAAGCUAGGGAGCCAUGGAAACGAAAGUAAACACCAUUUUGGUUGAGAAUGCAUGCUGCGCGGAUGGAUCUGAGAGAGAGAUGCGAAGACCUCAUGACUGCCUAAGAACGAUUUGAAAAGGCGCGUGAGAUUACUCCAUCUUGUUAGAAAGAAUAUAGAAAACACUCUCUCAGAAACAAAGGCUGAAACCAACUUGUGGGUAAAACAAGGACUUUUAUAAGGCUAUUUAAAUCAUGCUAUAUGAUUUUUAGGUUGUGUGAGAUCCUUUUGUUGAUAGAUGCAUCAGGUUUUAUGUAUAAGCCAGUACCGAACUAGCUUGUUUAUGUAAAUAAUGUACGUGUUAAUAGAUCUUAUGAUUACAAAUC